rnacentral:sRNA from 11 species
CAGAUGUUGAACGUGAAGGAUAACGUUGCGUCAGCAACGGCCCGUAGGGCGAGGCGAAGCCGAGUCAUCCUGCACGACCCACCA